AAAAAGGUAAAAUCUGAUUUUUCGUGUCCAACUUUAUCUGUCCUUCUUAUAUAAAAUUUUUUUAUAAUUCGCAUUUUCAUUGUUGUUAGAUGAUAAAACAUGAUUAAUAUUUUAUGCGUGACUUGUCUUUUUAAUUUUUUUUAUAAUUUUUUCAAAUAAAACGGACGGUCAAAUGUUGGACACGGAAAUCAGGGUUUGUCCUUUUU
rfam:Oryza rufipogon genomic scaffold, chr07